rnacentral:scRNA from 1 species
GACGUGGUCAUGGGUGCUGCUGUUGCAGAGCCA